AACGAACGCUUGCGGCAGGCUUAACACAUGCAAGUCGAGCGCCCCGCAAGGGGAGCGGCAGACGGGUGAGUAACGCGUGGGAAUCUACCCAUCUCUACGGAACAACUCCGGGAAACUGGAGCUAAUACCGUAUACGUCCUUCGGGAGAAAGAUUUAUCGGAGAUGGAUGAGCCCGCGUUGGAUUAGCUAGUUGGUGGGGUAAUGGCCUACCAAGGCGACGAUCCAUAGCUGGUCUGAGAGGAUGAUCAGCCACACGGGGACUGAGACACGGCCCAGACUCCUACGGGAGGCAGCAUUGGGGAAUAUUGGACAAUGGGCGAAAGCCUGAUCCAGCCAUGCCGCGUGAGUGAUCGAGGCCCUAGGGUUGUAAAGCUCUUUCAACGGUGAAGAUAAUGACGGUAACCGUAGAAGAAGCCCCGGCUAACUUCGUGCCAGCCGCCGCCGUAAAAC
rnacentral:rRNA from 1 species